rnacentral:rRNA from 1 species
AGCGAACGCUGGCGGCAGGCCUAACACAUGCAAGUCGAACGAACCUUUCGGGGUUAGUGGCGGACGGGUGUGUAACACGUGGGAACGUGCCUUUAGGUUCGGAAUAACUCAGGGAAACUUGUGCUAAUACCGAAUGUGCCCUUCGGGGGAAAGAUUUAUCGCCUUUAGAGCGGCCCGCGUCUGAUUAGCUAGUUGGUUGAGGUAAUGGCGCACCAAGGCGACGAUCAGUAGCUGGUCUGAGAGGAUGAUCAGCCACAUUUGGACUGAGACACGGCCCAAACUCCUACGGGAGGCAGCAGUGGGGAAUCUUGCGCAAUGGGCGAAAGCCUGACGCAGCCAUGCCGCGUGAAUGAUGAAGUUCUUAGGAUUGUAAAAUUCUUUCACCGGGGACGAUAAUGACGGUACCCGGAGAAGAAGCCCCGGCUAACUUCGUG